rnacentral:SRP_RNA from 1 species
AACAUACCGGUCACAACAAAAUAUCGUGAACCAUGUCAGGCGGGGAACCGAGCAGCAUUAAGCGAACAUUUUGUGUGUAGAUGCUGGUGUUUUCUG